rnacentral:rRNA from 1 species
GAUGAACGCUGGCGGCGUGCCUAAUACAUGCAAGUCGAGCGAAUGGAUUAAGAGCUUGCUCUUAUGAAGUUAGCGGCGGACGGGUGAGUAACACGUGGGUAACCUGCCCAUGAGACUGGGAUAACUCCGGGAAACCGGGGCUAAUACCGGAUAACAUUUUGAACCGCAUGGUUCGAAAUUGAAAGGCGGCUUCGGCUGUCACUUAUGGAUGGACCCGCGUCGCAUUAGCUAGUUGGUGAGGUAACGGCUAACCAAGGCAACGAUGCGGAGCCGACCUGAGAGGGUGAUCGGCCACACUGGGACUGAGACACGGCCCAGACUCCUACGGGAGGCAGCAGUAGGGAAUCUUCCGCAAUGGACGAAAGUCUGACGGAGCAACGCCGCGUGAGUGAUGAAGGCUUUCGGGUCGUAAAACUCUGUUGCUAGGGAAGAACAAGUGCUAGUUGAAUAAGCUGGCACCUUGACGGUACCUAACCAGAAGGCCACGGCUAACUACGUGCCAGCCGCCGCAGUAA